AUAUGUUGAUUUGAUUUCUUCCAAACAGAUAUAGAGAUACCCUCUUUGAACUCCUAAUUAAUUAGCCAUUUUUAGAAAACUUUCAUGUUAAUUAAGUAGCGUUGCAUUCCCAGUCCCCAGACAUAAUAUUAAUCAUCCUGUGUGUGUGAGAGAGAGAUAUAAAAGGUCAAUAGUAUAAGAGAAAAGGAAGCAAUAUUAUGUAGUCCAAUAUUUUCACUAGUAGAAAUAUCAAACAUCGGCUCUCAUAUGCUAAUAAUUAAUCACAUAUCAUAAAAACUAGAAGAGAGGACGCAAGCAUGCAGCUAUGUGCUGCUAAUUUUGCCAUAUCUAUAUGCAAAAGAUCUAGACCUAUAAUACUCCACCUCUUCCUGCUGCCACCUCCCAUCAUCAAAGUUCUUUGAGUAGCUAUUCAUGUCAUAAUUCAGCAGCUCAUGUCUGCAGCCAUUCACACUUGUAUUCUGCAAAAUCCUGCAAACCUUUCUCUUCACCUGAAGGGAAGCCAAGAUCGCCCUCCGAGACAACCCCAAAACUCGUUUUCGCUUUCUUCUCAGAAAUCUGCUACCCACCCUCUUCACAGAUCUCCAUGCCCUCACUGACACAUUUGCAUUUUCAGCCUUAAUCUUUAAGACAGAGACCAUCUCCAUAUUCUUCUCUUCCUGGAUGUUAUCGAAGGACAACAAGCUACAAGUAGAAUAGCUUGCUGACAUCUCUUUCUGUUUCUCUUCCUUUCUUGCUGUAUUCCAUGUGUGCCCUUAUACAAUUCAAUAGACAUUUGAUUUCUAUGCUUCAGAUCCCACGGCAACAAACAUUUAAGUUUAUUUUCUCAAGGACAUGGUACAUUGUAUUUAAUUUGGUUGCAGCGCAAGAAUUGCGGUUUCAAUAUUACUAGAAGGCAUGGAAUUGUUCGUUAGGGCAUUUUUUGGUAUCUUUGGACCUUACAACUAGCCACCAUCCAUGGAGAAUCCAAUGUUGGGGAACUUCAAUUAAUAAUAAAUUAUAUAGCUAUGAGUCAAGAAGACUAGCAAUUGCCCUUCAGACCCCUUCAACCUAUGGCAGUCUGAAGGGCAUUGUUGUAAUCUGUGUAUUAUGUUCUUGAACACAGAGUUGGUUACAUUCUUGGAUGCCCUUAAUUCUUGAAGCAUUUUCAUAGACGGACCCACACAACUACCUUCGUUACUCAUUUAUUAUCAUGUCUCUAAAGCCAUAUAAAAAUGGGGGGAAGGAAAGCUAUUCCUCCAACUUGUAAGAGUAGAAGUUUGAUUCUCAGGUCUGGACCACCAAAAUAUUGAAUUAGGUAGUCAAAUACAGUGCCCUCAUUGAAUCUGUGCAGAACUUCUUGGGCCCAAAUGCUGUAUGAUAUGAUUAAUGUACUGUCUCGUUUACAUGAUUGAAGGUUGCAACAUUUAUCGAGUAUGAAAAAAGCAGACAUAAUUUUUGGGUGUGCUGGACACAGAAACGGUAUGGUAGUUGAAGGGAAAGUCUUCAUCAAACUAAAUUAUCCAAAAGUGAAAAUGUUAGUCUAAAUUAGGAUUUUUUACAUAUUUCAUAAGCUGUGUUGUGAGAAAGAGUUGUAAGUACUAGAAGAUUACAUUUGCUAACAUUAAUAGUUGAGAGAACAUUAAAGAAUCACUGAAAAAUAUACUCUCUUCAACAUUAACCUAUGAAAAGACCAGUAGUUCAAAACACAUAAUGAAAAUGUUCACGCAUUAGUGAUGUAGGAUCAGAAAAAGUAUCAUUUACCCUCAGCAGCCAUCUGUGUUGCGUAUCUCAUGAGCUGUGUUGAAAAUGCCA
rnacentral:misc_RNA from 1 species